rnacentral:rRNA from 1 species
UACGUAGGGUGCAAGCGUUAUCCGGAAUUAUUGGGCGUAAAGAGCUCGUAGGCGGUUUGUCACGUCUGCUGUGAAAACUGGAGGCUCAACCUCCAGCCUGCAGUGGGUACGGGCAGACUAGAGUGCGGUAGGGGAGAUUGGAAUUCCCGGUGUAGUGGUGGAAUGCGUAGAUAUCGGAAGGAACAUCAGUGGCGAAAGCGGUUCUCUGGGCCUUACCUGACGCUGAGGAGCGAAAGCAUGGGGAGCAAACAGG